CCUACGGGUGGCAGCAGUCGAGAAUCAUUCACAAUGGGGGAAACCCUGAUGGUGCGACGCCGCGUGGGGGAAUGAAGGUCUUCGGAUUGUAAACUCCUGUCAUGUGGGAGCAAAUUAAAAAGAUAGUACCACAAUAGGAAGAGACUGCUAACUCUGUGCCAGCAGCCGCGGUAAUACAGAGGUCUCAAGCGUUGUCCGGAAUCACUGGGCGUAAAGGGUGCGUAGGCGGGUUCGUAAGUCGUGUGUGAAAGUCGGGGGCUCAACCCGCGGACGGCACAUGAUACUGCGAGACUAGAGUAAUGGAGGGGGAACCGGAAUUCUCGGUGUAGCAGUGAAAUGCGUAGAUAUCAAGAGGAACACUCGUGGCGAAGGCGGGUUCCUGGACAUUAACUGACGCUGAGGCACGAAGGCCAGGGGAGCGAAAGGGAUUAGAUACCCCAGUAGUC
rnacentral:rRNA from 1 species